rnacentral:rRNA from 1 species
AAUGAACGCUGGCGGCGUGCUUAACACAUGCAAGUCGAGCGCGAAAGGGGGCAACCCCGAGUAGAGCGGCGAACGGGUGAGUAACGCGUGGGUGAUUUGCCUCCGAGUGGGGAACAACACCGGGAAACUGGUGCUAAUACCGCAUGACAUCCUCGGGUCGUACUGGGGAUCAAAGCUGGGGACCGCAAGGCCUAGCGCUUGGAGAGAAGCCCGCGUCCGAUUAGCUAGUUGGUGGGGAAUGGCCUACCAAGGCGACGAUCGGUAGCCGGCCUGAGAGGGCGGACGGCCACACUGGGACUGAGACACGGCCCAGACUCCUACGGGAGGCGGCAGUGGGGAAUUUUUCGCAAUGGGGGAAACCCUGACGAAGCAACGCCGCGUGGAGGAUGAAGGCC